ensembl:misc_RNA
UUUAAAUGGUCCUCCUUCCGGGACUUCUCCCCUAGGAAGGAGUCGCGGCGUCCCAGACUUGGUGCCGCCGGCUGCGCGCGCGGACGGCUGUCCGUUGCCCGCGGUCUUCGG